rnacentral:misc_RNA from 1 species
UGCAUCAGUCUUGUCGGCUUGACUGCUGUGUUUGUCGAGAGUGCUGUCGAUGCGCGUGUGCUCGUGUGCGGAGGUAGUCGCUUGUCUCUCGCCUGUUCUUUGCUUUUUAUGAGAACACGUUUUUCACUUCCCCACUCACGUCACACACCGAUCUCUCUCUCCUCUCACGACGGCCCAAACGCGAGACGGAUCGCCGGCAUCCGACUCUCUGCCACGUCGCAUUCGACUAACUAAGCGACUUUGAGAAGGCGAAAAGCACGCAGGGGCGCAGACACGCAUACACAUAGGCGGCGUCAUCACAGGGAGUACAGAACUUCAUUGUCUCAAGCAAGCGUACGCGAGCCACAGCAAAGCAGAACAAGAACAAAAAGAAAAGAUGGGUCAAUCCAACGGCGCAGCGCUCGCCAAGGACACCAUCGCGUCUGAGCAGUUCCUCAAGUACCAAGAGGCGCGCCACCGCAUCGUGCACCGCGCCUUUGUGAAGUGUGUCGUGCCAUCUUCGAAGGGCAAGGAUGACGGGUACGACCUCACACCAGAGGAGCGCAUGUGUGUGGAGGAGUUCGCCAUUCUCUACGCCGGAUUCGCCAAGAAGGAGUUUCUGCACUUUAGUAGCCUGUAUGAGCAGUACCAGCGCGACCAGUACGAGAAGAUGCGGUUGGAGGUGAUGCAGCAGCAGGCCCGCAAAGACAUCCAGCAUUGAUGUCUGCGGCCCUGAGUGGCACGGAUGCAAGGCAGGGCCGGUGAGAGUAGAAGCGUUCACACUUCUUUCCUCAUGCCUCUCAAAUUCUUGGGCUUGCCGAUGCGUGAGCUUGCGUUCGGGUGCACCACCUGAUCUUUAGUGCCGUUUUCCGGCAGCGCUGUGCUGGGUAUGGAGAGGUUGCCUCCCCUCGGUGAUGACCCACGCAGACGGACACGGCCGCAAACUGCAGUGGAUGGUUGGCUGCUGUCUCCCCGCGCCUUUCGCGCUUCAUCAGCUGCCUCACAGUUUCUUCCCGUUGCUCCGUGGCGUUUUGUUUUUGUUGUAUGUAGCCUGGCCGUGUUUCACAUCAUCAUCAUCAAGCUCCUCUCGCCGGAGUUCACUUACUGUGUGCCUAGUUCAUGUAAGCAUCGGACAUAUGAGGCGUUGAAAGGGCCACAUAAGAGCCAAAAAAAAAGAGGGAAAACAAGAAGUAAGCUGGAGCGAGGGUCAGGGUCGAUGCGCCACGCAAUACAUGCGGACGCGGUGUGCGUGUGUGUGUGUUUGUGUGCACCGCAUGCGGCUUUAAGCAUACACACACACACAACGCAGGAUGGAGAGGCGCUUCGUGGCAAACCGUUGCCAAGACGCAUUUCUCUUCCUCUCUGCUUGGAAGGUCGGCGUGUGCUCUCGCGCCUUGGCGCACGCGUUUGCAUGCGUGCGUCCCCCACUAUCUGAGCGCAAGCUUCCGCGUCUGUCCCUCAUUGAGAGACGAAAAAGAAGGGAGCCUGCACGCUGCACAAGUGGUAGGUAAUCUCUCCUGCCAACGAAUCAGACAACGACGUAGGGGGAGGGGGCUGUGUAUACGCAGCCUUACGUGUG